rnacentral:tRNA from 1 species
GGUGUAGCUCAGCGGUAGAGCGCUUGCUUGAUGGGCACAGGGUCCCGGGUUCAAUCCCUGGCAGCUCCA